GUGCUCACUUCAGCAGCACAUAUACUAAAACUGGAACAAUAGAGAUUAGCAUGGCUCCUGCACAAAGAUGACAAGCAAAUCUAUGAAGCAUUCCAUACUUUU